rnacentral:rRNA from 1 species
GUGCCAGCAGCCGCGGUAAUACGGAGGAUGCGAGUGUUAUCCGGAUUCAUUGGGUUUAAAGGGUGCGUAGGCGGAAUAUUAAGUCAGCGAUGAAAUCCUGCAGCUUAACUGUAGAACUGUCAUUGAUACUGGUAUUCUUGAAUGCAGUUGAGGUAGGCGGAAUGUGUAAUGUAGCGGUGAAAUGCUUAGAUAUUACACAGAACACCGAUUGCGAAGGCAGCUUACUAAACUGUGAUUGACGCUGAGGCACGAAAGCGUGGGGAGCAAACAGGAUUAGAAACCCCCGUAGUCC